UACAGAGGGUGCAAGCGUUAAUCGGAAUUACUGGGCGUAAAGCGCACGUAGGCGGCUUUCUAAGUCAGACGUGAAAUCCCUCGGCUUAACCGGGGAACUGCAUCUGAUACUGGAUGGCUUGAGUUUGGGAGAGGGAUGCGGAAUUCCAGGUGUAGCGGUGAAAUGCGUAGAUAUCUGGAGGAACACCGGUGGCGAAGGCGGCAUCCUGGACCAACACUGACGCUGAGGAGCGAAAGCCAGGGGAGCAAACGGG
rnacentral:rRNA from 1 species